CACCCCGCCCGCCCCGAAGCAUCAGCAGCAGAGGCCUCGAGAAGGGGAAGGCAGGAGCACAUAAAAAAAGUUUAAACAGAAAUUUUUGUCCAUUGUCAUCAUAUCUUAUAUAGUUAUCAUUGGUGUCCUGCACAGACAAAAAUUAACAUUUUCUAAAAUGCCUUAGGGGCAUCAUACGUUCUAUACGGGUACCAAAAAGCUUACACAGCUUUGUUAUAGAUAAAUUGGUUCUCUUCCUGAUUAUCUACAUUAGGAAUCAUAUGAACAAUCUGUUUCUCUUUCUUUCUUUUGUAUCUUUCUUUGUACUAAGGGGGCAGCCACCAGUUUUAAGUUCUAAAAGCAUCAGUCACAGGUGCUGGGGAAGAUACAAACUAGCUGUGCAGAUAACAACUUUAGUAAUGAAUAAUGGAUGAGAUAAAGGUCAUCUCGUAGUCACCUUGGAGUGGUAGUGUCCUCACUGUCCCACUGAGACACUCCUCAGACACUGGCUUUGUAAGUCUGUGCCACUGUGCCUAGCUCUAAAAUCAGCUUGUCUCACUAGACUACAGCCAGGCAAACUGAAAACAAAAAACAAAAACCGGGAAAGUCUCUUGAAAGUCUUGGAGAGUAGAAGAGCUGAUUUUAAAUUAGCUUUGGCGAUAGAUGACGACACUAAGCUAACAAUACUACUUAACUUGCCAUUUUACUAGAUAAUAUAAUUUUUAGAAAGAAAUGGCUUCUUUAAUUAUAUUAAAGGACACAGCUGGAUCGAGAAGUUUACAUGAAGCAACAAAAUACCGUGAAGCAGGUGCUGGAGAGAGACAGUGAGCACUGAAGAGCAGCGCUGAUCUUGCAGAGGACCCAGGUUCAGUUCUUAGCCCACACGGUGGCUCACAACCAUUCACAAUUUCAGUUCCAGGUUCUUGUUUGUGUGUUGUGUACUUAAUACAUGCUCCAAGACACAUCAUGCAUUGAGGCCCAGAGAAGACGAAAGGUUGGACAGCCCUGACUUACAUCACCUUGCCCAACAUAUGAAUGCACCAUUGAGGGGUAGUGUGUUCUAAUCCACUGCCCUUAACCUGAUUCCACAGAAGCUCCGUAAUCUCUUCUUCCUUUGUAAACCAGAGAUUGGUUUUCCUUGCAAUGCUUCUUUAGUGCUCCUGACCCUAAAAGUGUAGCGGUUCCAUCUGGGAAGUGGAAUGUGUGGCGGAAAAGGUAAGGACUGAGAAGGGCUAUGGGAUAGUGCCUGGGACCAAGUUACAAUAUGUUAGUAAAUGGCAUUAGGGACCCUGUUAUUUCCCAUGCUUAGGAGAGGGGAGGGACAGGUUGUGAAUGAUAGAAAAGAAUGAUGAGCUACAGGCCGUGCACCUAGACCCAGGCCCUGGCCCUGAGUCUACUCAAACCUCAGUCUCUUCUAUACGUAACGUCCAAUCUUGCUUCUGACUUAACACACUGGGUUCUCAGCUUUAGUCUCUGCAGCAGGUAUCCUUAGUAAUGUUUAGGAAACAUUUCCAAUUUCAAAUGAGACAACUUUAAUGACUUCUUUCCUGAUGCCCCUAAUCCACUUCUUGGAGCACCUACGCAGGGUUACACAUUAGUUUGCAGCAGUGGAGGCUGUAAUUGAAUGGGAGCAGGUAAGAUAAUCACAGCUCAUAACUUCUGUAUGUAAUUCUAAUUCCAGACAGAGAACUAUGCCGAAGCAGAGCUCGUCUGUAAUACGUUAGCAUAACCGUGGCUAAUCUGUUUAUCCCGCUAUGAUUGAAGUCAAUAAGUAAUAAGAUCAGUUUCUCUCCUGCAGUGUUACAAACUGUGCGUACAGCCCACUUAAUCCCUACAAACCCUUCAGAAGACAAAGAGAAGGAGGCUCUUAAGAAUAUAGGGAGAGCUUAGGAGAUUGCUAACAUGGGUGAUUAUGGUUCAAGAAGUGGGGUGGUAUUUUCUAAGCUUGUUAGUACUCUGCUGAUUGAUUUUGGUGUUAUUUGUACAGACUGGAGCAGUAACCAGUGGGCAGGCACACCUCCCUAAUUGUGCUGGUGCCCAGCCUUGCUGCUACCAUCGCUGAAGCGCUCAUGGAGCCCACACGCCCAGUACUAUUGAUUCAUUCUGAGUCUUCGUUCCCGCCUAGCCCUGAGGAUGUCUUCUCCUUCCCAGACACUGUAUUCUGAAAACCUGUCAAAUGCAUUUAGCUUUCUCCAAGCAUGUCCAUGAAGCAUGCACAUGUAUGCUUCGACCACACAAAGUCCUGUGCAGUUCCAAGGGGACUGCGCUCCCUCCACCCCAGCCCCAGAGACUUUCAGCAAUGUGGUGUUACAAUGUUUCUUCUGCUACCUACUAUGAAUUAUGAUAAAUGUUCUGAGGCAACACUGUUUCCCACCACAUGUGUCUGCCACAGCUAGACUGGGUACUCUGCUUGGGGCUCUGAAAAAGUCUAAUAAGAUUGAGAUGGCUGCUUCAGGUUCUGUUCUUAUGGCCGUAGGACUGAGCUCUUGUUUCCAGUUUGGCUCUCUGAUACAUCCUCUCUCUACUUCUUGGGGCUCAGAGUCCUGGCUUUGGGGAGACACCCUUCAGUACCAAGCUCUGGGAAAGACUGAGAACGAAGAGACAAAUGGGAGAGAAUAGGGCUCUAUGUAUGUAUGUAUGUAUGUAUGUAUGUAUGUAUGUAUGUAUGUACGUAUGUAUGUAUGGUCUGGCAGCCUUUGCCUCCAGGCCUCCCUCUGUCUGGGCUUCCCCUGCUGCUUCCAGCUAUUUUACUCUUGCCAACACAACCUAAAAACUGCUCCCUCUUCUGACAGGAUACAGUGCUGCUCACUCUUCCUCCCAUCAUCCCUUGCUCUUUCCUUCUCUUCCCUCUUCCCUCAGAGACAUUCACUGUUUUCUCAUUGGACUUCGGUCCUUGUUCCUUCCAAGGCUGAGUCUCCUUUGAAAGCGUCAAGCUAAUCUAUUGCCCUAGCCUCUAAUAAGCCAAGGUCGCCCUGAACUGGGUUGUAAUUAAUUCCCCAGGCCUGCCUACCCAACAAUGCCUGAUGUAAAAUAGUCGGAGAGUAUUUCACAUGAGGCCCCUACUCUAUGGUAGUCACUUGAUCAUGUGUCCCGUGGUGCAAUCACCUUAUCACUGAUGCUCAACCAAUAGCCCCAGUCAGCAAGGAAAACCUAGUCCAGAGGCCACAUGCCAACAAGGCAGCUAGGGGGGAAAGUUGGCCUGCAUAGAACAUCUUGCUGGCUUGUGACAGAGCUCAGUUCCUGAUGCUGACAGCUCUCCACUUGUUCACAGCAAAACCGUCCCCUUUGAGACAUGGCAAGCCACUGAGCUUCCUGGCCCUUGUCAAGUAAAAUCAGAUUUUUUUUCAUUCCUAGAAAAAACCCCUUCCAGGAACAGAGUUACUCGGGCUGUCUUGAUGGUGAAUGAGACAGACUGGCAGAGAUGCAGAGCUUAUGCAAAGGCAAUAUGGCCAGCCACCUGAAGCUCUUGCCUCCAUAGCUUCUCCACCAUGGAUAGGCUGAAUCCUCUGAGACCAUGGGCCAAAAUGAACCCACCCAGCAAUGAGAAAUGUGGCUAAGACCGGAAGGGGUAGGUGUGGGUAGAAAGUGCCUUGGUCCGUGAAUGGGCAUAUGUUUAAAUGUCACUCUGAACCUCUUCAGUAUGCACAACUGACACAUUAAUCAAAAGAUUACACGUUAAAAUAAAUACUAGACUUGGUCCUGUUUAUGUCACUCCAGGAGGAAAGUUGGAUUCUAGGUUUUUCAUCAAUGGAAAAAAAAGUAAUUUUUGACUUUCUGGUUGUUAACCAUAGCCUUUAACAGCUGGACCAUUUCUCUCUCAGGAAACUGACAAUAACUUUGUUAGAUCUUUCUGGCAAUUGGGAAAAUAAGCUAACCAACAGGGUACCAGAAGUUUGUUGGUGAGAAAUUCUUUGAAAAGGGGCGUGUUCACUUAGAUUUCUGUGGACGCACGUGUGAAUGGCAUUUCUUUUUUUUUUUUUUCCUUUUUU
rnacentral:lncRNA from 1 species